GCAAUGAGGAAACGGGGUUGAACAAAACCCGCAGUGUGUUCAUCAGUGGGCAAGAUACUACUUGUUAGCUUCGGGGAAAGUGUCCUUUGUUUAUGGUUGAAGGGUUGGAGUCAUGAGGAGUGCAGAACGAGACUUUGCCCAACACUUUCUUCUUACACUCCGCUCAUAUACAGCAACUUCUCAAAGAAGACAAAAAUGAAGAGCGGAAUAAAGAUGUUAGUCAUGGCUUUUUUAAUCUUUCUUCUGAAUUCAGGCAACAUCAAAGGUGAGAUGGAGCUUCGUGCUUUUACAACCCAGAAAGCAAACUGCAACGAGAGGACGGUCUUACAGUGCAACAUCAGCUCAUCCGUGCCUCUGAACAUUGAUCAAAUAUACUGGAUGAAACAUGGAGAAAACGAGUUUAAAUGCGACCCAAAAUCCAGCAAGAGCCCUCCAGGAUAUGAGUGCAGCUACACGAGGGAAGCACUAACAUUAACCAUCCUGCAUUCUACACCAGCGCAAAUGGGGCAAUAUUAUUGUUGUGUAAUGGCAGACUCCUCACACGGAUAUAAGGGAAUCAACGUGUCUGUAGAGCAUUGCACUGGAGACUUCUCCUACGAGAUGCCUGGACCUCAGCAACUGCAGUGUCGCUUUACAGGUGUGUACCCGGAGGGCGCUAUACACUGGUUUCAACAUGACAGGAAUUUGACCUCCAUUGCUACACUGUCAAUCCUGAAUAACCCAGAUGGAACCUUCAACAUCACAAGUGUUAUAGACCGUCAGGACGAUCACGACAGAUAUAAGUGCUCAUUGUGGUCAUUAAAACAGGGUCGAUACCUUGCAGAUCAAGAGUUCAAAGUGCACGUUGAUGCUGAUUCCAGUCGUUUAAGCAAGAGCGCCACACAACACUGUUUCUCAUGGACUCCUCUACUUCAAGGCCUCUUGUUUGUCUCUAUAAGAUCAAUAAGUCAACUAAACUACUAUUAA
rnacentral:lncRNA from 1 species